rnacentral:rRNA from 1 species
AGAAUGAACGCUGGCGGCAUGCCUAACACAUGCAAGUCGAACGAAGCCCCUGUCCUCGGAUGGCGGGUUUAGUGGCGCACGGGUGCGUAACGCGUGGGAAUCUACCCCUUGGUUCGGAAUAACAGUUGGAAACGACUGCUAAUACCGGAUGAUGACGUAAGUCCAAAGAUUUAUCGCCGAGGGAUGAGCCCGCGUAGGAUUAGGUAGUUGGUGUGGUAAAGGCGCACCAAGCCGACGAUCCUUAGCUGGUCUGAGAGGAUGAUCAGCCACACUGGGACUGAGACACGGCCCAGACUCCUACGGGAGGCAGCAGUGGGGAAUAUUGCACAAUGGGCGCAAGCCUGAUGCAGCAACGCCGCGUGAGGGACGACGGCCUUCGGGUUGUAAACCUCUUUAGUAGGGAAGAAGCGAAAGUGACGGUACCUGCAGAAAAGCACCGGCUAACUACGUGCCAACAGCCAC